UACGGAGGGUGCGAGCGUUGUCCGGAAUCACUGGGCGUAAAGGGCGCGUAGGUGGCUACUCAAGCGCGCGGUGAAAGCCCGGGGCUCAACCCCGGGUCGGCCGUGCGGACUGGGAGGCUCGAGCACUGUAGGGGCGGGUGGAAUUCCGGGUGUAGCGGUGGAAUGCGUAGAUAUGUGGAGGAACACCGAUGGCGAAGGCAGCCCCCUGGGCUAGUACGUGACGCUCAUGCACAAAAGCGUGGGGAGCAAACAGG
rnacentral:rRNA from 1 species